GCUCCAGGUGCGACGCUGGGCUGCUUCUUUAAAGGCUGUUCCAGCAAAUACCACUACAGGUGUGCUCUGGACUCAGAAUGUGUUCUCAUCGAAGACAACUUCUCCAUGAAAUGUAAGAAGCACAAGAACAAGACUCUGAAAGCUCCUCCAGGGGUCCGACGGGCCGACAGGUGACGGUUUGCAGGAAGCCUGUGAGUCCAGGCUCACUCGGCAUCCUGCAGGUUCGUCUCCCUGUCAGUAACCAUGGCAACAGUGGACCAGGGUUCAUCUGAUUGACAACCAGCACCCACAAACUUUACCUGAACUGCACCUAGGGCCAACCCCACCCCCCCCUCGGUCCGGACCCCAGGUACUGAUCAACUGACACCCCGUGGACCGAGGGCU